AAUAGAUACCCAGGUAGUCCACGCCGUAAACGAUGAGUGCUAAGUGUUAGAGGGUUUCCGCCCUUUAGUGCUGCAGCAAACGCAUUAAGCACUCCGCCUGGGGAGUACGGUCGCAAGACUGAAACUCAAAGGAAUUGACGGGGGGCCCGCACAAGCGGUGGAGCAUGUGGUUUAAUUCGAAGCAACGCGAAGAACCUUACCAGGUCUUGACAUCCCGUGACAACUCUAGAGAUAGGGCUUUCCCCUUCGGGGGACACGGUGACAGGUGGUGCAUGGUUGUCGUCAGCUCGUGUCGUGAGAUGUUGGGUUAAGUCCCGCAACGAGCGCAACCCUUGAUCUUAGUUGCCAGCAUUCAGUUGGGCACUCUAAGGUGACUGCCGGUGGCAAACCGGAGGGGAAGGUGGGGAUGACGUCAAAUCAUCAUGCCCCUUAUGACCUGGGCUACACACGUGCUACAAUGGAUGGUACAAAGGGCAGCGAAACCGCGAGGUUAAGCAAAUCCCAUAAAACCAUUCUCAGUUCGGAUUGCAGGCUGCAA
rnacentral:rRNA from 1 species